GAGUAGCUAGGCCCCUGUUCCGCUGGUGGUCUGGUUUCUGUUACUGCUUUCCCAGACUGCUUUGUGAUGAUUGCUUACUGCCUGGAUCUAGCUGCUCUUUGAGUUAGCCAAUUAGAUCACAGGAUCAACGCAUGGAGAUGUGCUGGCUCCCUAGAGUAACUGCAGCAAAGAAGACCAAAGCCAUGGCCACGUUCUAGGGAAUAGAUGACAUGGUCAGUAGGAUGGCUCUGCUUGAGAUAGAAGGUGGGCCUGAUGCCCGAGAGAUGCACCCUUCCACCUCUGUCACCUGCUCCAUUAUUUUAUAGCUAUCCUCCUCAAUGCGUUCUGUGUUGAACUGCCAUGGUUACCAACUCCCCAGUUUGUCUUGGAUCUAUGCCCCCUAACCCCACACCAAGACCAAGAAUGGAUUCCAAUUCCAAUUCAAAUCCAAAUCUCUGGUUUCACUGUUCUGUGGAAGAAACCCCAGGCUUGGCACAAUUAUGACCAUAUCGAAGGGGAGCAUCCAGGGAACUAGCAAUAAGACAAUAGGAAGAUGUCCAGUACGCACUAGGAGAAAUCCAUGCAAAGAUGUGACCUCCAGGAAGUAUAGAAAAGGUGCGAACAGAAGCAGCCUGCCAGGAGAGACAGGAGGUCAUUCAUUCAAGUCUGCCUUCCCAACAAUGCACAUCAGAGUUUGAAAGCUGUUCUCUAGGAUCAAUAAUCACGGUUCAUGUCUCAAAUCCUGGAGUCACCCUACUUACGACAUGCCCAGUUCAAAUCACUUGAGGUUCUCACUGACAAAUGGGUAGGCAAGUAGACAGAUGUCCUCCAGCCGAAGAAGCCCGUGAAACUGAUCAGUCCGAGUCUGGCUCCCAGGCUCCCAGCUGGGAGUCUGGACUGUCACCACCUGCUCAUAAACCUUUACCCCAGUCACC
rnacentral:lncRNA from 1 species